AACGAACGCUGGCGGCAGGCUUAACACAUGCAAGUCGAGCGCCCCGCAAGGGGAGCGGCAGACGGGUGAGUAACGCGUGGGAAUCUACCCAUCUCUACGGAAUAACGCAUGGAAACGUGUGCUAAUACCGUAUACGUCCUUCGGGAGAAAGAUUUAUCGGAGAUGGAUGAGCCCGCGUUGGAUUAGCUAGUUGGUGGGGUAAAGGCCUACCAAGGCGACGAUCCAUAGCUGGUCUGAGAGGAUGAUCAGCCACACUGGGACUGAGACACGGCCCAGACGCCUACGGGAGGCAGCAGUGGGGAAUAUUGGACAAUGGGCGCAAGCCUGAUCCAGCCAUGCCGCGCGAGUGAUGAAGGCCCUAGGGUUGUAAAGCUCUUUCACCGGUGAAGAUAAUGACGGUAACCGGAGAAGAAGCCCCGGCUAACUUCGUGCCAGCCGCCGCUGAAGAC
rnacentral:rRNA from 1 species